GACGAACGCUGGCGGCGUGCUUAACACAUGCAAGUCGAGCGGUAAGGCCUUUCGGGGUACACGAGCGGCGAACGGGUGCGUAACACGUGGGUGAUCUGCCCUGCACUUCGGGAUAAGCCUGGGAAACUGGGUCUAAUACCGGAUAUGACCUCCUAUCGCAUGGUGGGUGGUGGAAAGAUUUAUCGGUGCAGGAUGGGCCCGCGGCCUAUCAGCUUGUUGGUGGGGUAAUGGCCUACCAAGGCGACGACGGGUAGCCGACCUGAGAGGGUGACCGGCCACACUGGGACUGAGACACGGCCCAGACUCCUACGGGAGGCAGCAGUGGGGAAUAUUGCACAAUGGGCGAAAGCCUGAUGCAGCGACGCCGCGUGAGGGAUGACGGCCUUCGGGUGGUAAACCUCUUUCAGCAGGGACGAAGCGCAAGUGACGGUACCUGCAGAAGAAGCACCGGCUAACUACGU
rnacentral:rRNA from 1 species